GAUGAAGAACGUAGCGAAAUGCGAUAGGUAGUGUGAAUUGCAGAUGUAACGUGAAUCAUCGAAUCUUUGAACGCAAAUUGCACUCUCUGGUAUUCCGGGGAGUAUGCCUGUUUGAGGGUCGCCAAAUCAACAUCGAAAUUCAUUUGCUUUUUGCAAAUGUUUAUCGGAUUUGAGCCGUCUUUUUAUUUUUUUUUUAAAGUGGCUUAAAAUGUAUUUUUUUGGUAUCGAAAUACGUUAUUUUACGAUCCAAUCGAUCAAAAAACAAACGUUUCGAAUGCCGUCUUUUAAUGUAAUACGUUUGACUGUGUAUACAAUCAUGGUUUCAUUCGUAUACGAGUUUUUAAUUUUUGACCUCAAAUCAGGUAAGAACACCCGCUGAACUUAAGCAUAUCAAUAAGCGGAGGA
rnacentral:misc_RNA from 1 species